UACAGAGGGGGCAAGCGUUGUUCGGAAUUACUGGGCGUAAAGCGCACGUAGGCGGUCAGGCAAGUCGGGUGUGAAAGCCCUGGGCUCAACCGAGGAACUGCUUUCGAGACUGCCAAGCUAGAGUGCGGAAGGGGCAUCUGGAAUUCCCAGUGUAGCGGUGAAAUGCGUAGAUAUUGGGAAGAACACCUGAGGCGAAGGCGGGAUGCUGGGCCGACACUGACGCUGAGGCGCGAAAGCCAGGGGAGCAAACGGG
rnacentral:rRNA from 1 species